rnacentral:rRNA from 1 species
GUGUCAGCCGCCGCGGUAAUACGUAUGGGGCAAGCGUUGUUCGGAUUCAUUGGGCGUAAAGGGCACGCAGGCGGAUUGCUAAGUUGGAUGUAUAACCUUCAGGCUCAACCUGAAGUCUGCAUCCAAAACUGGCAGUCUAGAGUACCAGAGGGGAAAGCGGAAUUCUCGGUGUAGCGGUGGAAUGCGUAGAUAUCGAGAGGAACACCAGUGGCGAAGGCGGCUUUCUGGCUGGUUACUGACGCUCAUGUGCGAAAGCGUGGGGAGCAAACAGGAUUAGAUACCCUGGUAGUCCACGCCGUAAACGUUGUGUACUAGGUGUUGGGGGUUUCAACGCCCUCAGUGCCGCAGCUAACGCGUUAAGUACACCGCCUGGGGAGUAUGCCCGCAAGGGUGAAACUUAAAGGAAUUGGCGGGG